AGGAAUAAGUCUCGUUGGUGACCAGCGGAGGGAUCAUUACUGAGUUUACGCUCUACAACCCUUUGUGAACAUACCUAUAACUGUUGCUUCGGCGGGUAGGGUCUCCGCGACCCUCCCGGCCUCCCGCCCCCGGGCGGGUCGGCGCCCGCCGGAGGAUAACCAAACUCUGAUUUAACGACGUUUCUUCUGAGUGGUACAAGCAAAUAAUCAAAACUUUUAACAACGGAUCUCUUGGUUCUGGCAUCGAUGAAGAACGCAGCGAAAUGCGAUAAGUAAUGUGAAUUGCAGAAUUCAGUGAAUCAUCGAAUCUUUGAACGCACAUUGCGCCCGCCAGCAUUCUGGCGGGCAUGCCUGUUCGAGCGUCAUUUCAACCCUCAAGCUCUGCUUGGUGUUGGGGCCCUACAGCUGAUGUAGGCCCUCAAAGGUAGUGGCGGACCCUCCCGGAGCCUCCUUUGCGUAGUAACUUUACGUCUCGCACUGGGAUCCGGAGGGACUCUUGCCGUGAAACCCCCAAUUUUCCAAAGGUUGACCUCGGAUCAGGUAGGAAUACCCGCUGAACUUAAGCAUAUCAAAA
rnacentral:rRNA from 1 species